rnacentral:rRNA from 1 species
GAUGAACGCUGGCGGCGUGCUUAACACAUGCAAGUCGAACGAAGCACUUUAUUUGAUUUCCUUCGGGACUGAUUAUUUUGUGACUGAGUGGCGGACGGGUGAGUAACGCGUGGGUAACCUGCCUUGUACAGGGGGAUAACAGUUGGAAACGGCUGCUAAUACCGCAUAAGCGCACGGCAUCGCAUGAUGCAGUGUGAAAAACUCCGGUGGUAUAAGAUGGACCCGCGUUGGAUUAGCUAGUUGGUGAGGUAACGGCUCACCAAGGCGACGAUCCAUAGCCGACCUGAGAGGGUGACCGGCCACAUUGGGACUGAGACACGGCCCAAACUCCUACGGGAGGCAGCAGUGGGGAAUAUUGCACAAUGGGCGAAAGCCUGAUGCAGCGACGCCGCGUGAGCGAAGAAGUAUUUCGGUAUGUAAAGCUCUAUCAGCAGGGAAGAUAAUGACAGUACCUGACUAAGAAGCACCGGCUAAAUACGUGCCAGCAGCCGCGGUAAUACGUAUGGUGCAAGCGUUAUCCGGAUUUACUGGGUGUAAAGGGAGCGCAGGCGGUGCGGCAAGUCUGAUGUGAAAGCCCGGGGCUCAACCUCGGUACUGCAUUGGAAACUGUCGUACUAGAGUGUCGGAGGGGUAAGCGGAAUUCCUAGUGUAGCGGUGAAAUGCGUAGAUAUUAGGAGGAACACCAGUGGCGAAGGCGGCUUACUGGACGAUAACUGACGCUGAGGCUCGAAAGCGUGGGGAGCAAACAGGGUUAGAUACCCUGGUAGUCCACGCCGUAAACGC